CUAAGAAAAUAUACAAUUUUUAAAUGGAGUGUUCCUUCAAUAAUAAAAACACUCUUAUACUUGACAUUUAGAGAACAUCUUAAUGUAUCUCCCAUUUCUAGCAGAACAUUCCCAUUACUACAUAACAAAAUGAUAGAAUCAUAUUUUAGCAUUGAAAGAGGCUUUGAAUAAUUUUCUCUCAUUUUAACUGGCUCUUGGACUAAUAUUCUAUUUGUAGUAACAACUACUAAUAAGCAAUAAUACGCCAAGUAUAUGGUGACAUAUUGAGAUUUGUCUAAUAUCUAGUCUUUAAGGAGUUAAAAAUAAUAAUAAAAAUAAAAUCACAUAUAAAACAUAUAGAUACAAAUUAAAGAUAAUAUAUUGUAUGCCGUCUACUUACAAAUGAAACUCAAUGCUGUAUUUUCAAACACAUUUGUUCCAAACAAAUUUUUUUUAUUUUUUUUUUAUAAAGUUUUAUCAAAUCAGUGACACGUGGGUUCCUCCACUAUGAUAUAACAUUGUAUCUGAUGUUUUUAGCAUUUGUAAAGAAAAGGUGUUUCAGGUCAGUAUAAGCUAGUUUCUCUCAGCCCAAUAUAUUAACUUUCACAGCAGAGCAAGAUACUUAUUUUACCACAUUGAUCCACUUUGAACUAUCUUGAACUGACACUAAGAACCAUAAUGAACCCUUGUUGAAUAGUAAGUAAAUGAUCCUUGUCAAAUUUUUCCUUUCAGCAGUUUUUCAAAUUCAGACAUUAGGAGUAUCUGAAAAGAAAUCACAGACUUGGUCAAGUGACAGGACAAGCCGUCAAAAAUUAGUGAAUAGCUCACUAAGCGUAUAACAGAAAAUGAGCUAAUUUUCAAGCUGAAUUUAACUGAUCAGUGUGUCUAUUAAUAUGUUACUCACCAAAGUUGUAAAAAGUAUGUGCCUGGGGAUUAAGUUUCUCCAUAUCUGCAAUGUAUGUCCUUAACUGUAAUUCUGUGUCAAUUUGUAUUAAAUCAUUGGUGGAUUAAUUAUUCCGUGCAACAAUACAAAAUGUCUACUCUCAUACUUGCUAAUGAAACAAUGUUAAAGAAAAUAACCACUUAAACUGAGUCUGCCAUGCAUGAUAUAACAAAGUCUAAUUUAAAUGCUGCAGUGUGAUUGCAUCCCUGACCUGGCAACUUUCCAAUCUAUGAUAGAUAUGUGCUUGGAACAUAUUGCAAAAAGGUGUGCUGAAAGAUGGAAUUUCUACAUAAACUUAAUUAAAAAUGUAAGUAGGAUAUUUGCUUUUUUUGGUUUAUUUUUGGCACACCUGCUGAAUGAGAUACUGUAAUGCACAUUUGCAUAAUUUUAUUUAUUUAUGUAUUGCUGAACAGUAGAUUAUAAAAAUGUUUAUCUAAUAUUUUGUGAUUGCUGUGCAUACCAUAUUUUAAAUAAAUGCUACACUUGAACUUAUUUUAUUUUUAUUUUUU